AGGAGAAAAACUUGGCAAUUCAAUUUUUGACACUUGACAUAUAUUGUAUAUGUUUCGUUAUGUAUAAGAAAAAUAGUAAAUUCAAGAAUUUCACGAUUAGACGUUUAUUUACUGCGCUUUAUCGUUUUCGGCUGUUAUAUUUAUAUAACCGCACUAGUUAAAGACUUCGUAAUUUCAAGAAACUCCAUAUUCGACAAUUCAACUUAUUAAAUUUUCUAUAACAAUAAAGCAGCAGUUUUCAGUAUGAAAAAUAAUUUUUUCAGCUAUACCUCGACAGGAAGAAUAACUAAGUCCUAGUAAUAAGCUGUUAGUCUGUGUUAUCAUAUAGGUGGUUUACUUUCACGCCCGAAAUUAUUUAUGUGAAGACAUUCGAAAAAUGUUUCAACGCCUUGAAAAGGCAAAAGUAUAGGGUAUGAUUAAGUAACAGCAUUAAUUAACUGAUUCAUAUUUAGUCGAACUCAUUAGGAAGUCAGAAAAAUAUUUUGGGUGACUGAACUGUACAAAAUGAAUGCGAUUUAAUACCAAAACAAAAACACUCUUUAUUCAACUUUCUAAACAUUUUAUAAAAGCAUAUAAGUGUUUUGAGAAAUCUCUUCUAUUCUGUUCCCUAAUAAAUAGAAAAUAUGAAUUCACAUGAAAAUUAUUUACAAGUUUUGCUGAAACAAAAUGAAAUUAAUACAGACAACUGGAUUUUUCGUGAGCACUAAAAUAAAAAAAGCAAAGUUAAAAAGAUAUUUGAAAAACUUAUUAGCGAAUAUGAAGAAUAAUAUCACCAUAACACUUUCAGAGUGUGAAUAGAUAUAGGACGAAAAAUGUAAAAAAAUCUCAAAAACCACGUCCUUUAUCUACCUACUCUACUCAAUACUGUGCAAUCCAAAAAAAAAAUGUACAAUCAUUUGCCAAUUAAAAUUAAAUUUAUAAAAUCUUUUCCAGCAUUUCGCAAGAAUUUGAAAGCAUAUUUACUGGAAAGCGCUUUCUACGCUAUAAACCACUUAUACUCUAAUACUAUAAAAUUUGAUUAGAAGCAUAUUACAUACGGGUUUAAUGUUGGUAUUGAUUUUUGAUACAAAUUAUUACAUAUUUUAGGAUUGCUAUAUAGUUUUAUUAUUUGGUAAAAAAAUUCCCUUGCUUUUAGACAAAAUUAACUACAACAAGUAUAAGUGGCAGAUAUGUGGGGACCUGAAGGUGAUUGGAAUUUUAAUGGGACUUCAGGAAGGGUUUACAAGGUAGGGCAGUAGAUCAACACUAUGUGAGUGUUUAUACCUCUUGUAGAUCCCAAAAAUGACCUUCUGCCCUCCCUUCACAUUAAAAUUGGAUUGAUGAAAAACUUUGUAAAGGCUAUGGAUAAAGAGGGUGAUGGAUUCAAAUACCUUAGAGAAGUCUUUCCCCAGUUAAAUGAUGCCAAAUAAAAGGAAUGUAUUUUUAUUGGGCUACAUAUAGGAAAAUUGCUGGACGAUGACAAUUUUGCAAAAAAGCUCAUCAGACGGUAGCUUAGAACAUGGAAGGCAUUUGUUAGUGUAGUGAGGGGAUUUUUGGGCAACAAUAUGGAUCCAAACUACCAACAGUUUAUUGAUGAACUUCUAGACUCCUACAAACUGCUUCAUUUCCAUUUGACAUUUUUUCCCGAAAAUUUGGGAGCUGUCAAUGAUGAGCAGAGUGAAAGGUUCCAUCAAGAACAAUGGAAAUUCAGUAUCAAGGUCGUGUUACAAUUAUUUGUUUCAUAUUUUCGUAUUUGUAUAGGUCCAUUUUAUCACAAUAUACUAGUCAUUCUAGUGUUACUACAAAAAUUUUUUUUUGUCGACCAGUGUUAGUACAUAAUCACGUUAAAAAUUAAAAACAUAGUAAACUAAAUUACAAUGAAAUAUUAUAAGUUAAAUUUGAAUCUUAGUUAUAAUAAAAUGAUCGUGGCAACAAAAAUAUUUACAUCUCGCAGAAUCGUCAAAACGACAUACCAUUUUUCAGAUUACUCAAAGUUUAAUAAUAACGCUUAUUUUGGAAUAACCGACAAAAUAACUAUCGUAUUUAUUUUGUAUCAUAUGUUCAGUCUUUAUUUUAUACCUAUAAUGUCACGCAAUAUGGCGACCUUACUAAAAUGUAUGAACUACCUUUUUUUAAUUUUCAUUAGUGUUUUUUUAUAAAUAUUGAUCUGAGAUUAAAGAACAACAUUAUAAUAUUAUAAAGUACAUAAAUUAUCCAAAA